GCAAAGUGAAAUUGAAAAUGUCUGACUUGCUUAUAGGGUAAUCAAAAUUGAGCCUCUAAGGGUCCCCAAAUAACCUUGUCCAGGGCCUCAAUAACCCUAAGGUCACUGCUGAUGAGGCCUUGGGCCAGACUCCAGAGGAUGCUUUGCAGCAGGUCAAGAAAUUGAAGGCAUUUCCAGUGCCUGGACUGGCACCUGCAAGCAGCUCUGACACCCUUAAGCAAUGUCCCCAACUUCUAGGGAGGGACUGGAGCAAUGAUGCUUUAUUGGAGAACUUUCCUCCGCUUCUACACAGGCAUUACUUGGCAAUUUUGCAUGGCCUUUUUUCCUGUGGAGAAACAGGACAACAGACCUAAAGAGAAAUGCUGUUGCAUUCAGCGUUUCAACCUCACAGGGCAAAACAGAGACUUUGCCAAAAGCAAGGCAAAGGAAACGCUGAGGUGUGGCAGGGGCUAAAUCCCUCUAGCACAGAGGGACGGGGGUUCAAACAGAAGCUGCCAGGCGUUGAGGCACAGCACUGAGAUUAAAAAAAAGUGCGGGAGGUUAUGAACAAGUAGAGGCUGUUGGAGACCCUGCAGGGUCCCUCUGUGAGCUGAAAAGGGCCAGGGCCAGGGGCUGGCUGGAGGAGGAUGAAGCGACAGCAGCAGGUCUGGCAGCAGAGGGAGUCCUAGGCUGAGGCUGGAACAGGCUGGGUUAGUGGUCCCAGGCAGUCGCGGGAAAAGCCGUUACACCCUUACAUGCAAAAGCAGCCCCGCGGCACGUGCUGGCUAGCCCCCGUCCCACCGGCCUCGCGCGCUCCCCGCGCCUGCGCAGUCCCGCGGCGUGACGUCAGUGUCAGCUGGGCGCGCAGACGGUGGCCGAGUUCCGGGGUGUGGGUGUGGGAGAGGAAGGGGAAGGGCACAGCCUGGCUGGGACUUUGGUCGCUGCGGGACGUGGAGCCGGGACCCUCCACCUUUCCCCGGUGCGGGUCCGGCGCUGGCGGCUGCCCUCCCUUCCCCUUCCCUCCUCGCGGCCGCCGGGAGGACAUCGGCUCCACCUGACCCGGGAAUUGCCUCCUGCCGCUUGAACCUGGCUUAUCCCUUGUGCCGCCGGAGCUGCUGGGAAGGCCCUGGGCAUGACUAGGGCAGCGCGGGGGGAGCCGCCCAUGACAGCGCUGCAGGAUCGAAGCUGGCUGCCGGGCCUGAAGGAAAGGCCCCAGUAGAGCUGCCGGGCCUGUUAUCCCUCCUGCUUCCUGGAAGCAGAAGAGGGCCCAAACCAGGCUUUAACCUGACCUCCCUUCCCCCAGCACCUGCUGGACCUUUGCAUUCUGGCAAACAUACUUCCAUAGGCUUGGGAUAUGAAGCUGGGGCAUGUGCCACCCUUCACGUCACCUCUGGGGAGGUUGUGCUGUCUGUUUUCAGUGAAGGAUAUGAGGUUGAAUGGGAGCCAGAUGAUCUAGUGGAACCCGAGACUCCAGUUUAGGCAAAUCGUGAAGGUGAGGUGGGGUGGGCCUGGGGUGGGAGGAUACCUUUGGACUGCAUGUAGAUAUGGGAACCAUCAGUGCUUAGAAGAGCUCAGCUUUGCAGAAGUGAUGUAACCGCUUGUUAGCGCAAAUUCUCCUACCAUGGGAAGAGAACUGAUGACAUCUGACUUGACAGUUAAAAUUAAUUGGGAAAGACUGCCCCCCUCCCCCCAAAUAAAAUAAAAACAAAAAAACA
ensembl:lncRNA